GCUUGAUGGUAACGGUCGACUUAUGUUUGAGGAAGAACUUCAAACAACAAAUGGUAUUUCCCCUUUUGAUUAAAAUGGAGCAUCAUCAGGAUCUGUUCAGGUUUUGACACCUAGCAGUCAAGUUAACACUCCUUAGUUUUCUGAGCCAUCUCAUACCAUGCAAGUUGAUGCUGUGGCUGGAUCAGAUGGUGCAGAACAUGAAGAAACAGCUCAGGAAGAGCAGAAGUUUGUAGAUCCAUUGGAUAGAUUUCUCCCACCACCACCCGCAAGUUAAAUGCUCUGAAUGCCUACAAAGAAAGAUAAAUAAAUUUCUUGAGUAUAAGAAGGCUGGAAAAAGUUUUAAUGCAGCAGUUCGCAAUAGGAAGGACUAUCGGAACCCUGACUUCCUGUUGCAUGCUGUGAGGUAUCAAGAUAUUGACCAAAUAGGAUCUUGCUUUGAUAAGGAUGUAUUGGACCCUCAUAGAUAUGACCCAAGUGACUACUACGACCAAAUAGCACCAUCAGAUCAUUAAGGCCAACUUUCGUCCCUACUUGAUGGAUUGGUCUUGCAGUCAAGCUCCCUUUAAGUACUUGAUACUGAUGUUGCUUUACCACCCCUAACUAUCACAUAGGCAGAUAUGAGACGUGGAAGUGACAAGAAAGAGCAGGAGAAG